AACAGUUAUCAGAGCAAAGACGGGAAUACUAUCCUCUCUGGAAGAGGAGGACCCUUUGAGGUAGGACAGAUGUUUCAGAACAUUAUUUUCGUGGAUUGACUGGAAACUAAAUUCGUUUAAUGUUUGUACAGGGGUGUCAGAAAUUGCUUUAGCGGGGUUUACUCUCAACACAUUAUUAUUAUCAAAAAGGUCACCAGCUUCAGAAAAAUUUAGGUUCAAAUUGUCGACUAUUUUUUGGGACUCUGAAAAAUAGUCCCCAUUUCGGUUAAGUGCAAGAUUAUCCGUAUUAGAUGCCUUUUCAAUACAUUUGACUGUUUUCCAGAAGAUCCUGGCGUUGCCACGUGAUUCCAGGAGAGUGUAGGAAAAGUAAGCAUUUUUUGCAUGCCGUAUUUUUUUGACGCAUCUAUUCCUCGAACUCCUGUACUCGAGCCAGUCAGACAAAAUUACUUUUUGUGAGCACAUUUCCAGGCCUUUUCCCUAGCUUUCAUGAGCUUAGUAAUCAAAGGAUCAAAACAUGGUGGACGGUUGUCUUUAAUUUUAAAUUUAACCAACGGAGCAUGUUUGCCAAGAAUUUGGAGAAACGUGUACCUGAAGGGUCUCCCAAGCCGUAGUCAGGUUGUGGAUACCGCAGACCUUGUCAAUAUCCGAGUGAAGCACAUCAUUAGUAAAUGCCUGUAUGCUGACGUGUCUCAUGGAGUGCUUAUCAACUGAUUUGGGGGGGGGGGGGUUUGGGUCUGGCUGACAAUCUCACCCCAAAUAUGAAGGGGUAAUCACUAAGGUUAUUACCCAGAACACCAGUAAGUGGGAAAUUGUGAGGGGCAUUAGUCAACAGGACAUCAAGCAGAGAUGACUGUCCCGGGUUUUUUUUAGGUUGGGUCUUGUGGGGACAUUUUUUUAUUGAAAUAAGCUAAAUUCAUUUUCAAAAUUUGUGGCCAUGGCAGGUGGGUUUAGCCAAUUCCAAUUCAGAUCACCCACUAAAACUAUUUCACCUUUAGGGAGGUCACCAAUAAGCUCCCUCAGUGCAGUCCAAAGCUUAAACAUCCUUACCACUAGGCGGUCUAUAGUAGCACACUAACAAUAUCUGUUGAUUAUUAGGGAGAGUGAUUCUGCGAGCCAGACCUUCAAAGCAACAUUGUUUCAACACUGAAUGAGCUGGUAGACAUGCAAUAGUACUACGAACAUAGAUGGCAAUUCCACCUCCUUUAGAUCCUCGGUCAAGCCGAAAAAGGUUGUAGUUGUCAAUCAUAAUCUGCAGGAGUGUCCGGAUCCAGAUUUGCCACUUCUAGUUUUAGUUGGCUAAAUUUAAUCACAAGCCCUCUGAUGUUGACAUGUAGAACACCAACACCUUUUCUACCAGAAAAAUCUACAGAAUUAUACGAGUUCUUUACAGAAAUAGUAGAAUUAAUAGUUUGCAUUGAUAUUUUCUGUGAAAGGAUGAAGAGCGGCAAACCUUGGACGAAUAGCAGCAGCUCGCAGAUGGCGACAUUUUAAAGAGCUGAAUGACGUUUGGAAAGAGAGCUGGUGAAGUAAUGGGACAGAUAGGGGUUUAAAGGAUCAAAUGAUGGAGUGUAGAAGUGGCUAUGAGCUGUUCCACUUGCAGAUUUAGUGGCAAACAGAGCAUCAAGUACGGACGAGAAAUAACGAGCAUAGUCGGUGGUAGAGUUGAGUGUGGCACUUGGUAUGUCUGGGAGGGACAGUAGUUGGAUACACAACAGAAGGAGAACUGCCCUUGUUAAAAUAUAAUAGGUACACAGUGAAACACGCACGUGAAAAGCACAGGUUAGCCGAGCGCGAGAACAUCUCGCACACUCGUCGCAACAUGAACGGUCACCCUUGUCGAAACGCGUGUGCUGUGUCAGGCUGGGCAAAGUGCUGGGGUCGUAGAUGACCCCAUCUCCUGGACCCUGAAAACUCGACCGAUGAUUCAAGGGUUGAGAGGGCUGACCAGGUGAGCAGUAGGUGGAGGAGGACGAGGAGGCUGCGGCCAUGCUCACAGAAGCCAGGGGGGGAUGCGGUAGAGCCGACCGGCGAGUAGCUGGCGAUUUGGUACUUAGGCGUCUGAUGGUGGUGGUGGUGCUGAUGAUGGUGGUAUAGAUGCUGCGGCGGCUGGGGUUGUUGUUGCUGUAGCUGUACUUGUAGCGGCGGUAGUUGUUGUGGUGAUGAUAGCAGUGGCUGCGGCGGUUGUGACGGCGGUGGCUGUUGGGCCGUCAUACGACGCCAGCGUUUUACGCUCCAUGCGGACAGCCUCCUCCAGCUCCUCCGCCUCUGCGAGGGGGACUGACGACUGAUUUGAGGCUGAGUCGACUGUGGUGCUGCUGGCGGUUGUGGAGGAGGUCGGGUGGAGGAUGGCAGACUCGGCUCCAUCAGCGACCUCCCCUCCUCCUGUGGUGCUUCCCCAGUUCCCGGCGGCUAUGUUUAUGCCCCCCGCAGCCUGCGCCUCACCGUCGCCCAGAAUGCUUUGAAGCUCAUAUUCUUGGUUCUUUCGGUAAAGUCACGUAGAAGGGAAACAAAAUAAUAAAAAUAUAAAACAAUUAUUUUAUUGUUUCCCUUCUACGUGACUUUACCGAAAGAACCAAGAAUAUGAAUCCCUGCAGUCACGAAAGCUUUAAAUCAAAAUUUGCUUUGAAGCCCGUUAAAGUAGCGGCAGAAGCGCCGCUCCGUGCUGCCGUUGGCGUGUCGGUUCAGCACCAGGGCCCGGUGGUAGGCGGCGGCCAGCGUUUUUCCGGCGACCCUGCACCGCCUGGAAUCUGAGUCCCAGCUGCUGCAGGUGCCGCGUGAUCUCUGCCCAUAUCUCCUUCUUAAGGUGCGGGCGUCUGCUGAACACUUCCACAAAGUUCCUUUCGGCGUUGAUCAGCUGAAGCGUGGACUCACGAUCCCAUGUGCGUAGGGUUUCAUCUUCUAUCACGUGUUUCACCACUGUCUCUCCCUGCCCCUCAUCCACGACGUUGGCGGUCAGCUCCAGGUCCUGACCCAGUUCCUGAUCCAGGUCCUGACCCAGUUCCUGACCCAGUUCCUGACCCAGGUCCUGACCCAGUUCCUGAUCCAGGUCCUGAGUGUGCGUUUUGGGGUUUUGCUGCUUUUGGGAUGGCUGUAGUCAGAAUGGAGUUGUGGUCUUCUAUGUUUGCACUGUUUGGCCGUCCUGCUGUGGCCUUGCAAGGUGGGUGUCCGUAUUUAAAGCUUUCGGAGCAUCGUGAGAUGUGUUUGUAACCAGUGGUGUAAUACGUGUGUGCAGUGAAGGCUGUUGUCAUCCCUCGUGCAGUCAGAGACGUCCGAGACUUGAAAACCUUUCAAUCAGAAAAGCAGUCGCAUCGGAAGUUGCAUGAAGUUUCUAGUGUGGUUUGACUGAUCUGUUAUCAAAUGAAUGCAUGAAUCUGUAGAGGGUUUUUUUUUCCAUUGUGUUCAAUGAUUUUUCCAAUUAGUCGUGCUGGGAACAGGCCCAGCCCAGACCAAAUAUACAGUAAUCCAAGAUGUAAUCACAGCCCUAAUUGCAGACUGAACUCUUUCCCAGUGCCCAUUCAAAAUGAGACUUCACGCUACUGGUUUUGCUUUCUCCGGAGUUGAGCAUUACAAAUACAAAAACAUUUGGAAUAGGUCAGUGACUAGGAAGCACUUGUUAGUCAGACGAUGUAGUCACUGAGCUGUAUCCACUGCGCAUGGGAACAUUUUCAGAUCAAGGGUCAUGUUUGAUUUCUGUCAGUCACGUGGAUUUGAGCUGUGCAUCGGCACCUACUUGCAUUGCGUCAGACCCCGAGACUAAAGUGUCCCGCCAAAAACACUCCAAUACAAAUUGUAACCAUUUGUUUACCGCAAUGUUUACACACGCACGAAUGUACAUUUCUGAAAUUAGUUUUUAUGGACGUCAAUUUUUGUGUGUGCGAGUUGUAAGAUCUGACGAGACGCAUAUAAAGGUUGUCAUCAGAGUGCAAUGUAGUGAAAACGAGCCCGUGACGAGUGCUUUGCUCGUGGGAUGAUGACAGCUUUGUGGUCAAGGCACAAGGUGGAUGUCGUUGCUUGAACUGCACUUGUAGGCCUUGCUGUGCCUAAAGUAGAGAAUUGAGCGUUCGUGCUGGUCUGGUGUUACUGUAGUGGUGGUUUCCUUAGUCAAAUUUACUCGCUGUAGACUACGGACUUAAACUGAUCAAUCUUAAAUGUGUAGUGACAUACAAUGGAUCACUAUGGCGCGUAGAGCUGGGUACAAUAGAAUGAGGGAAUAUGGGUGUAGCAGCCAGCACAGCAUGUAAUACCACGCAGUGGGUCAUUAGGGUGCGUGGCGCUGGCUGCUGGCAGAGAGGGGCAUGUGGGGACACGGCACCCCGGCCGGCUGGUGAAGCACGUGAUGGGCCGGGGUGAAGGAUGUAGGGCAAAGGUGACCGAGGGGACACAGGGAGCAUGGGCCAGGACCUUCUGGAGGGUUCCAGAAGGGGGUGUGGUUAAGGGCGGAGGCCGGGCAGGUGGCACGUGGAGGUCGGCCCAGAACCUGGAAGGUUCCAGAAGGGGGUGUGGCCGAGGGCGGAGCCAGGCCAUGCUGAGGGGCAUAAAAGGGAAGCUCUGAGGCUGAAUCAGGGCUGUCUACAGGUGGAAUAGAACCUGAGUUGCUUCGUCUUCGCAGCGUGUUGGCUGCUCUGACCCGUAAUUAGUUAUCCCGUGUGUGAACAGUGUUUGAGAUAUAUAGUGUAGAAUAAACGUUGCCUCCUAAAAUAGUGUCUCAGAAGUGACUCACUACAAAUGGAAAGAACAAAUGUUUAUUGGUUGUACGGAACAAAAAUAUAUAUUUAUUGUUAUAAACCAAACUUGUUUGCUUCUGCCAAUAUCCAAAUGAGAGGUGUAGUGUUGAGUCCUUUGGAGCUCAGUACUCCGAUGGUGCAUUGCCCAUUGUUCAUCAUCGCCGGCAUCGCUGUGCCACAUUGGGUGAGACUGGUGUCUGGAGCAGGAUCGAUGAGUCUUAAAGCUAUGCUAUAGCAUUCCAAAUUGGAAGGAUGUGUCCUGGGACCGAUUGCAUACGACUUGCUGGCUCUGCCUUUGAAAAUAAUUUUUUUUUUAAACAAAUGAGGCCUCCAAAUUGGAACGUAUUUCGUUUCGUCACUCGUAAAUUCUUAACUUCUAACGUCAUUUUUGGCAAUACAUUUUUGUGCCGAUUUUACAUAGUUGAUCGAUUGGAUAGGUUUGUUAAAGGAUAAUUGAGUGAUAGUUUAACUAUGUAGAGUAAUGCCUUUAGUAAUAUAUAUAUCCAAGCAGACUUGAAACUGAUACAUUAGUUUAAAAUCACUGUCUUCAGAUUUGCAGUUACUCUUCUGUUCCAUAUGGAGAAACUUGCAGGGAUGCAAUGAGUCAACACUGUCCACAAGUAACAUUUCUGGGAAUACAUUCGUGGUCUCGCAACACUUUCAACUUUGCAGUAUGAGGCAUAACAUUAAUAAACCGAUAAUUGUCACAUUGGCUUGGUACAGAUGCUUGCCUUUACAGUUACGAGCAUAUACCACCUCGAGCAGUUGUCUCACAAUGCUGCCAGUUGCGGAUCUUGCGUGCUGCACUGGUGCGUGUCUGCUUUGCAGUCUGCAAUAUUCACGCAAUUGUGGAUGCGCAGGACACACACUUGCUGGAAUAAAACACCUCGAGAGGCUGAACGUUUUCGCUAUGCGAGUGAGCGCAAUGAAUGCGCUAUCGUUUUUGGUUGUCACUCUGUAACCCGAGUAAACCAUUAGUACCAAAGGUGGGGAUGGUUAUUCGGAAUGUGUUUCUUUUUACAAAUGUGCAGUUAAGUUAUUGUAAGAAGAGGCUCUGGUAUUGCUUCAUUGUAUUUGUACAGCAUGAGCAACUGGCUUUCUUUGUGCAAACCCGCGUUAUGGCGAUGUAUUAUUUUAUAUUUUUUUUCCAGCGUGAUGUCGUCAUGAGCGGUCUUGUGUGUUUUGUCAUUUCCCCAUUUGUUUAUUUUGAGUAUUGAUGUUUAUUGGAACUGAAGUGAAGCUGUUGUCUUCAUAGUAUCUUCAUCCUGGACAUGCAGCCUUCCAACACAGGAUACUAAGAUGUGCAGUGUUUUAGAGUCGAGGCAUUUAACUUCGUCUGAUGUCGACAAUUUAUGUUAUGGGUAUCUAACAUACACAGCCGUUUGCUACUUUUGUUAUGUAACAGCCGGUUUUAAAUGAAACAUAACUUUCAAGGCAAUCAAUUCAAAAAGCAUACAUCGCUAUUGAGUUUCUGAAUGUAUGUUUUGUUCAUUAGUUAUGACUUCAAGACAAGAUAGCCUCUUAUCUGCUAACUUUAAAAAUUGUACUCAAGUGUCCUGCCUGUUAACACAACUCAUCAGCAUGUUUGGCAUUGUUUUGAUGCAUGUACUGAACUUGCUACUCCUGUGUGAACCACCAUGGGCAGAAGUGAUACUGUUAAAACGUUAGGAUUAUUUUCACUGUAAUGCUAGAACGUACAGAAUUUUAUUCUUUGGGCCGUUCGGUAAAGCCACGUAGAUAGAACAAAUAAUAAAAAUAUAUUAAAUUAUAUCUUAUUUUUUCUUAAAAAUGAUAUAGGAUAAUUAUUUAUAUAUUAAAUUAUAUACUCUUUUUAUUAAAAAUUAUAUAUUAUUAUUUGUUCUAUUUACGUGGCUUUACCAAAAGACCCAAAGAAUAUGAAUUCCAGCAGUGACAAAAGCUUUAAGAUUUACAGCAUUUUCAUUGAAUAUAUUUAAUUUAUUUUGACACGUGACCACUUUAUUUUAAAUUCAAAAGUACCUGAGAAGAGGUUUUCCCCUUUUUUCUGGCAACAAAACAGAUAAGAUGUUAAAACACCAAAUUGAAACCUUUUACAAGGAAUCAUGUCUGCAUUAACCACAAUACUUGUGGUCAGAAUGCAAUGAAAAAAAAAGUACUCUCACAAGUACCUGCUAUGAAAUUGUAGAGUCAGCUUCGAAUCAAACAUUUGCAGAACUUUUAUUGUCCUUUUUAGUUCCCUGACAGCUCUGAAUAAUUUACAAGCACAUGGUUACAAAAGUACACAGCAGAUUUACUUCCAAAUGACAAUCGUGAAUUGUAGGUUAUCGAUUCAAGCAGGAUAAGGAUGCAACAAAGAAGACUUGUGGGCAACUUUAUUUUAUGAUUAAUAGCAGAAUCACGGACACCGCUUUGUUCGUCUUGGUGUCAUUUGCAAUCCCAUUAAGUGCAGUUUGAGGAGCAGUACUUUGAAGUAAAGUUGACAUGAAGCAAAAUGUUAAACGGCCAACUGUUGUUUGUGUGUUUGCGUAAGUGCCCGAGUGCUUGUGUACAAAAAAGGCUUUGUGUUUCAAUAAAGUUAUUUAAUGGAA